rnacentral:lncRNA from 1 species
AGGAACUGAGGAAGUGGUAACCCCAACAAAAUGACCUCCGAAUAGACUGACCGUGUUACAUGAUGGGAAAGUCCAAAGAGGCGAGAAAUCAAAGUACUAAUAAUCCCUACGCUUCCCGAAGAGCAACUUAUAUUCACAGCCCUUGCUUCCUCUACUGCUGAUUCAACCUUCGUAUUCGCAUGGUUUUUGCCAGCCUCCUCCAGCCUAAGGUUCUCAGCAUAAGUGCAUGCUCGAGAAUGAUU